rnacentral:rRNA from 1 species
GGGUUGUGAGGUUAAGCGACUAAGCGUACACGGUGGAUGCCCUGGCAGUCAGAGGCGAUGAAGGACGUGCUAAUCUGCGAUAAGCGUCGGUGAGGUGAUAUGAACCGUUAUAACCGGCGAUUUCCGAAUGGGGAAACCCAGUGUGAUUCGACACACUAUCAUUAACUGAAUCCAUAGGUUAAUGAGGCGAACCGGGGGAACUGAAACAUCUAAGUACCCCGAGGAAAAGAAAUCAACCGAGAUUCCCCCAGUAGCGGCGAGCGAACGGGGAGGAGCCCAGAGCCUGAAUCAGUGUGUGUGUUAGUGGAAGCGUCUGGAAAGGCGCGCGAUACAGGGUGACAGCCCCGUACACAAAAAUGCACAUAUUGUGAGCUCGAUGAGUAGGGCGGGACACGUGGUAUCCUGUCUGAAUAUGGGGGGACCAUCCUCCAAGGCUAAAUACUCCUGACUGACCGAUAGUGAACCAGUACCGUGAGGGAAAGGCGAAAAGAACCCCGGCGAGGGGAGUGAAAAAGAACCUGAAACCGUGUACGUACAAGCAGUGGGAGCCUCUUAAUGGGGUGACUGCGUACCUUUUGUAUAAUGGGUCAGCGACUUAUAUUCUGUAGCAAGGUUAACCGAAUAGGGGAGCCGAAGGGAAACCGAGUCUUAACUGGGCGUUAAGUUGCAGGGUAUAGACCCGAAACCCGGUGAUCUAGCCAUGGGCAGGUUGAAGGUUGGGUAACACUAACUGGAGGACCGAACCGACUAAUGUUGAAAAAUUAGCGGAUGACUUGUGGCUGGGGGUGAAAGGCCAAUCAAACCGGGAGAUAGCUGGUUCUCCCCGAAAGCUAUUUAGGUAGCGCCUCGUGAAUUCAUCUCCGGGGGUAGAGCACUGUUUCGGCAAGGGGGUCAUCCCGACUUACCAACCCGAUGCAAACUGCGAAUACCGGAGAAUGUUAUCACGGGAGACACACGGCGGGUGCUAACGUCCGUCGUGAAGAGGGAAACAACCCAGACCGCCAGCUAAGGUCCCAAAGUCAUGGUUAAGUGGGAAACGAUGUGGGAAGGCCCAGACAGCCAGGAUGUUGGCUUAGAAGCAGCCAUCAUUUAAAGAAAGCGUAAUAGCUCACUGGUCGAGUCGGCCUGCGCGGAAGAUGUAACGGGGCUAAACCAUGCACCGAAGCUGCGGCAGCGACACUAUGUGUUGUUGGGUAGGGGAGCGUUCUGUAAGCCUGUGAAGGUGGCCUGUGAGGGUUGCUGGAGGUAUCAGAAGUGCGAAUGCUGACAUAAGUAACGAUAAAGCGGGUGAAAAGCCCGCUCGCCGGAAGACCAAGGGUUCCUGUCCAACGUUAAUCGGGGCAGGGUGAGUCGACCCCUAAGGCGAGGCCGAAAGGCGUAGUCGAUGGGAAACAGGUUAAUAUUCCUGUACUUGGUGUUACUGCGAAGGGGGGACGGAGAAGGCUAUGUUGGCCGGGCGACGGUUGUCCCGGUUUAAGCGUGUAGGCUGGUUUUCCAGGCAAAUCCGGAAAAUCAAGGCUGAGGCGUGAUGACGAGGCACUACGGUGCUGAAGCGACAAAUGCCCUGCUUCCAGGAAAAGCCUCUAAGCAUCAGGUAACAUCAAAUCGUACCCCAAACCGACACAGGUGGUCAGGUAGAGAAUACCAAGGCGCUUGAGAGAACUCGGGUGAAGGAACUAGGCAAAAUGGUGCCGUAACUUCGGGAGAAGGCACGCUGAUAUGUAGGUGAAGCGACUUGCUCGUGGAGCUGAAAUCAGUCGAAGAUACCAGCUGGCUGCAACUGUUUAUUAAAAACACAGCACUGUGCAAACACGAAAGUGGACGUAUACGGUGUGACGCCUGCCCGGUGCCGGAAGGUUAAUUGAUGGGGUUAGCGGUAACGCGAAGCUCUUGAUCGAAGCCCCGGUAAACGGCGGCCGUAACUAUAACGGUCCUAAGGUAGCGAAAUUCCUUGUCGGGUAAGUUCCGACCUGCACGAAUGGCGUAAUGAUGGCCAGGCUGUCUCCACCCGAGACUCAGUGAAAUUGAACUCGCUGUGAAGAUGCAGUGUACCCGCGGCAAGACGGAAAGACCCCGUGAACCUUUACUAUAGCUUGACACUGAACAUUGAGCCUUGAUGUGUAGGAUAGGUGGGAGGCUUUGAAGUGUGGACGCCAGUCUGCAUGGAGCCGACCUUGAAAUACCACCCUUUAAUGUUUGAUGUUCUAACGUGGGCCCCUUACCGGGGUUGCGGACAGUGUCUGGUGGGUAGUUUGACUGGGGCGGUCUCCUCCUAAAGAGUAACGGAGGAGCACGAAGGUUGGCUAAUCCUGGUCGGACAUCAGGAGGUUAGUGCAAUGGCAUAAGCCAGCUUGACUGCGAGCGUGACGGCGCGAGCAGGUGCGAAAGCAGGUCAUAGUGAUCCGGUGGUUCUGAAUGGAAGGGCCAUCGCUCAACGGAUAAAAGGUACUCCGGGGAUAACAGGCUGAUACCGCCCAAGAGUUCAUAUCGACGGCGGUGUUUGGCACCUCGAUGUCGGCUCAUCACAUCCUGGGGCUGAAGUAGGUCCCAAGGGUAUGGCUGUUCGCCAUUUAAAGUGGUACGCGAGCUGGGUUUAGAACGUCGUGAGACAGUUCGGUCCCUAUCUGCCGUGGGCGCUGGAGAACUGAGGGGGGCUGCUCCUAGUACGAGAGGACCGGAGUGGACGCAUCACUGGUGUUCGGGUUGUCAUGCCAAUGGCACUGCCCGGUAGCUAAAUGCGGAAGAGAUAAGUGCUGAAAGCAUCUAAGCACGAAACUUGCCCCGAGAUGAGUUCUCCUUGACUCCUUGAGAGUCCUGAAGGAACGUUGAAGACGACGACGUUGAUAGGCCGGGUGUGUAAGCGCAGCGAUGCGUUGAGCUAACCGGUACUAAUGAACCGUGAGGCUUAACCUUACAACGCCGAAG